rnacentral:rRNA from 1 species
GAUGAACGCCGGCGGCGUGCCUAAUACAUGCAAGUCGAGCGAACGGACGAGAAGCUUGCUUCUCUGAUGUUAGCGGCGGACGGGUGAGUAACACGUGGAUAACCUACCUAUAAGACUGGGAUAACUUCGGGAAACCGUAGCUAAUACCGGAUAAUAUUUUGAACCGCAUGGUUCAAAAGUGAAAGACGGUCUUGCUGUCACUUAUAGAUGGAUCCGCGCUGCAUUAGCUAGUUGGUAAGGUAACGGCUUACCAAGGCAACGAUGCAUAGCCGACCUGAGAGGGGGAUCGGCCACACUGGAACUGAGACACGGUCCAGACGACUACGGGAGGCAGCAGUAGGGAAUCUUCCGCAAUGGGCGAAAGCCUGACGGAGCAACGCCGCGUGAGUGAUGAAGGUCUUCGGAUCGUAAAACUCUGUUAUUAGGGAAGAAAAUAUGUGUAAGUAACUGUGCACAUCUUGACGGUACCUAAUCAGAAAGCCACGGCUAACUACGUG